CAGUAGCCGCGGUAAUACCAGCAGCCCAAGUGGUGGUCGCGAUUAUUGGGCCUAAAGCGCUCGUAGCCGGGCCGGUAAGUCCCUUGUGAAAUCGGACGGCCUAACCGUUCGGCGUGCAAGGGAUACUGUCGGUCCUGAGGCCGGGAGACGUCCGAGGUACUCCGGGGGUAGCGGUGAAAUGUUCUGAUCCUCGGGGGACCACCGGUGGCGAAGGCGUUCGACGAGAACGGGCCUGACGGUGAGGGGCGAAGGCUAGGGGAGCAAACGGGAUUAGAUACCCCCGUAGUCCCUGUCUCUUAUA
rnacentral:rRNA from 1 species